GAGAAAUAAAGUUUCUCGCAGAGUAUUGCUUCACUGCUAUGCACGUCUUUCAAGGGAAUAGCACUUCAUUCUCAUAUGUACUGUCAGUAUUAUGAAAAGGCAUAAUUUACAGACUUCCUUCAAAGAGGGCUACGUGCAAUGCGAGGAAUGUGUUCAAUGAUUAGAGGUGAUGGUAGAACUUUGGUUUGAAUUUGGUAGAGUUGCCUAGUUUAGUAAUUUACUGUAAAGAUAGACACAAUUUUGUCAAAGUGACAAGGAGUAUGAAAUAGAGGGGGAAGAAGAGGCCUUCUUAACGGUAUAUAAUUACCCACAUAACUAAGUACCCAUUUUGAGUAACUAUUUGUAAUUUCAUUGGUGGAGCUCAUUUAAAUAAGUUGACUGCUGGCUAGCAUACUGUUUUGAAGGACCAGUGAAGAACCCUACAGUUCAAUAUGCAAUGAAGAAAUAACUGCACUUUUGUACGAUAUGAGCAUGCUGCUGCUGUGAGUAUUUCGCAAAUACAUAUUUAUGCGCAUUACUUGCACCCUCAUGUAAUUUGCUGACCCCUAAGAUUUUGACAGCUUCACUAAAAAAAAUAUAUGAGUGCGUAUUUUGCACUUCCUAAUCCUGCUGAGCCAGCUCGCUGGCAUGCCCACGAACAAUGAUAAUGCUAUCUAGUCAGACUUCUCAGCCAGUAAUAUCAACUGACAGCGCAUGAGCGUAACUGUCCGGCUAAAGAAGGGGCUGAUUAUGUUAAAUAAAUGAGUGCUCUUCAUUUUUGCUCCAAUUAUUUUUUAAUGUAUAAAUCACAUAUGUUACGACUACAGUGAACUUCCCAAUAAGUGAACUUUAAGGGAUCCAUGGAAAUAGUUCACUUAACUGAAACUUGACUAAACUGCAGUAGAAUAACAUCAUAGGGCACAACAGAAAUCGAGUAAAAUAUGUGAAAUGCACUUUGAAAAGAGUUCUAUAAUUUUUACUUUUACUGGCACCCUUAAUGUGUAAGAAAGGACCAAGUGGUUCACAGAGUGUACAUUUUUGUACACUGCCUUUAUUUAGCACAGUGUGUUGCUGUGACACGAAAUCUCGCAACUUUUAAUAUACCCUACAGUCUCUGUUACAGAUCAACCUGCCUCAGCCAUUACAACUUCUUCGUCGCACUUCGUCGAAAGAAAAGUUCUUUCGGUGUCGGGCAAACAGUGGAAACAAUUUCCAAUUCUCAUAGCUCUGCUCAGGUACUGAAGCGUAUGGGACAUGUUUUAGUCUGCCCCAGGCCACCUCGCAUCGACAGUGCUGCAUGUACGGGCGAUGUUGCGCCGCCACCGAUAAGUCGGGGAUUUGAUGGCGGGACCCAUUGGCUAAGCCUGCAGAGCACAAAACUGCAUUGAUUUAUCUCAAGAAUGAGCCAGGGUCUGCAGAUGAAGUUUGUUCAGCUGAAAUACUCAUUAUUCGAAUUUUUUUAAACUGAAAGAUUUUCGCAUGGAAUGCAUAGGAAAACUGCCAGGGAUUUUCCAAAGGUUCAUUGUUCUGAAAUAUUUCUUCAAGUGAUGUUCAUUCAAAUGAGAGCUCACUGUAUAUACACAUUAUUUCAAGAGCAUUCGUGAAGCCUCUGCGUCAUUUCACACGCCCUUUUCAGAGCUCCAAAAUCGCUAAAGAAAAAGUGCGCAAUUUAUGCAAGUAAAUACGGCAACUGUGUGAUCAAAUAGGGAAGCUAGAGGGUAUAGAAUAGAACAACAUGCUUCAGCUGGUUUUGGUGUUGUGCUCGGCCUUGACACCUUUCUCUGCCGCGAAGAGGGCAGGUGUAGCCCAUUGUCGCAACUGUGCCCACUUCUGCGCUGAGCACGACAUCGGUGAUUUCGUCAUCAGCAUACAGCCAACGACCAAGCACGGCUUCCUCUGUGUGUCAGUCAUGCCUGAGCAGUGCGAUGAAGAAGCACAGUGCAAAAGGUGGGAGUCAUUAAGGAGGCAUUGGCAAGAUUGGUUCAUUCCUUCCAUGGAGCACCCAAAAAUCUGCGAGCUUCAGAAAUGGCCUGAAAUGAAUUGCAUCAGAGUCUUAGAAACUAUUCAUCCAUUUCCGGUGUUAUGUCUGCGUGACCUCUUAUGAACUCAGAAUUGUGACAGUGAUGUGACAAUGUUUACUAGCGGCAGCCUUUGGCUGGGUUAUAUUGAAUUGUGUGAAGUUGGAUGUUCCCAUUUUACUCUUUUGGUCUAUUGCAUAUCUUUAUACUAAAAAAUUAAUUGGGAAUCGUGAUAAUAAAGAGGUCCUGUGCUUACAGUCAA